AGAGUUUGAUCCUGGCUCAGAGCGAACGCUGGCGGCAGGCCUAACACAUGCAAGUCGAACGAAUCCUUCGGGAUUAGUGGCGGACGGGUGAGUAACACGUGGGAACGUGCCCUUUGGUUCGGAACAACUCAGGGAAACUUGAGCUAAUACCGGAUGUGCCCUUCGGGGGAAAGAUUUAUCGCCAUUGGAGCGGCCCGCGUAGGAUUAGCUAGUUGGUGGGGUAGAGGCCCACCAAGGCUUCGAUCCUUAGCUGGUCUGAGAGGAUGAUCAGCCACACUGGGACUGAGACACGGCCCAGACUCCUACGGGAGGCAGCAGUGGGGAAUCUUGCGCAAUGGGCGAAAGCCUGACGCAGCCAUGCCGCGUGAAUGAUGAAGGUCUUAGGAUUGUAAAAUUCUUUCACCGGGGACGAUAAUGACGGUACCCGGAGAAGAAGCCCCGGCUAACUUCGUGCCAGCAGCCGCGGUAAUACGAAGGGGGCUAGCGUUGCUCGGAAUUACUGGGCGUAAAGGGAGCGUAGGCGGACUGUUUAGUCAGAGGUGAAAGCCCAGGGCUCAACCUUGGAAUAGCCUUUGAUACUGGCAGUCUUGAGUACGGAAGAGGUAUGUGGAACUCCGAGUGUAGAGGUGAAAUUCGUAGAUAUUCGGAAGAACACCAGUGGCGAAGGCGACAUACUGGUCCGUUACUGACGCUGAGGCUCGAAAGCGUGGGGAGCAAACAGGAUUAGAUACCCUGGUAGUCCACGCCGUAAACGUUGGGCGCUAGGUGUAACCGGACUCAACCCUGGUUGUGCCGAAGCUAACGCGAUAAGUAUACCGCCUGGGGAGUACGCUCGCAAGGGUGAAACUCAAAAGAAUUGACGGGGACCCGCACAAGCAGUGGAGCAUGUGGUUUAAUUCGAUCCACGCGAAGAACCUUACCCAGACUUGACAAGCAGUGGACGAUAUCAGAAAUGAUAUUUCCCUUCGGGGCCGCUGCACAGGUGCUGCAUGGCUGUCGUCAGCUCGUGCCGUGAGGUGUUGGGUUAAGUCCCGCAACGAGCGCAACCCUUAUCAUUAGUUGCCAGCACGUAAUGGUGGGAACUCUAAUGAGACUGCCUGGGUUAACCAGGAGGAAGGUGAGGAUGACGUCAAGUCCGCAUGGCCCUUAUGUCUGGGGCUACACACGUGCUACAAUGGCCGGUACAGAAGGCAGCGAAACUGUGAAGUGAAGCAAAUCCCAAAAACCGGCCCCAGUUCAGAUUGUAGUCUGCAACUCGACUACAUGAAGUUGGAAUUGCUAGUAAUGGCGAGUCAGCAACAUCGCCGUGAAUACGUUCCCGGGUCUUGUACACACCGCCCGUCACAUCAUGGGAGUUGGUUUUACCCGAAGCCGCUGGCUUAACCGCAAGGGAAGAGGCGUCUAAGGUGAGGCUGAUGACUGGGAUGAAGUCGGAACAAGGUA
rnacentral:rRNA from 1 species